rnacentral:rRNA from 1 species
CCUACGGGAGGCAGCAGUAAGGAAUAUUGGUCAAUGGACGAAAGUCUGAACCAGCCAUGCCGCGUGAAGGAUGAAGGUCCUCUGGAUUGUAAACUUCUUUUAUUUGGGACGAAAAAAGGGUUAUCUAACUCACUUGACGGUACCAGAUGAAUAAGCACCGGCUAACUCCGUGCCAGCAGCCGCGGUAAUACGGAGGGUGCAAGCGUUAUCCGGAUUCACUGGGUUUAAAGGGUGCGUAGGCGGGUAGGUAAGUCAGCGGUGAAAUCCCCGAGCUUAACUUGGGAACUGCCGUUGAUACUAUUUAUCUUGAAUGUUGUGGAGGUUAGCGGAAUAUGUCAUGUAGCGGUGAAAUGCUUAGAUAUGACAUAGAACACCCAUUGCGAAGGCAGCUAACUACGCAAAUAUUGACGCUGAGGCACGAAAGCGUGGGGAUCAAACAGGAUUAGAUACCCUGGUAGUCCACGCCCUAAACGAUGAUUACUCGACAUUGGCGAUACACAGUCAGUGUCUGAGCGAAAGCAUUAAGUAAUCCACCUGGGAAGUACGAUCGCAAGAUUGAAACUUCAAAGGAAUUGAGGCUGAGACGNGCGAGACGACGACGAGGGAGGAGG